rnacentral:rRNA from 1 species
AUGGACACGUUGACUGCCCUGUUUCGUAAAGGGGAGCAAAGUAAUCUUUUCAAGCCGUUGUGCUGCUGGGGCAUCAAUCACCGCUUAUCGGUCUACGCUGACGAUGCAGUUUUGCUCAUUCGGCCUGAUGAGGUUGAAGCAGAGACAACCGUGCAAUUUCUGACUGCUUUUGGGCACGCCUCUGGAUUGUCUUGCAACAUGGCAAAAAGCUCCAUCUCGUUGAUCCGUUGCAGUCAGGACGACAUUCCUCAAGUGACUGCCAUCCUUGACUGCUCCAUCAAGGAAUUUCCUCUAACCUAUCUGGGGUUGCCGCUAUCCGUUACACGACUGCCCAAGUCUGCUCUCCAACCUCUUAUUGACAGAACUGCGGACUACUUACCCACCUGGAAAGCUCGCUAUCUCCGUCGGGCCGGGAGACUUGUCCUAAUCAACUCAACUCUAACUGCAGCUUCCAUCUACUUAAUGCUAGUGCUCGAUCUGCCGGCGUGGUUUAUCUCUUGCAUUGAUAAGAUCAGACGUGGUUUUUUCUGGUGUGGACAUAAUGAGGCUAAAGGUGGGAACUGCCUAAUCAACUAG